CCUCUGUAUCCUGAAUGUGAGGCUUUUAUUUUGAACGCUUGCAAGAAAUUAGUUUUUUAUCCACUUGGAGCAUUUUGUUUUGAAGCAGAUCCGGCUGCCCGUUGCUGUGUGUGUGUGUGUGUGUGUGUGUGUGUCAGCUGUUGAGGUCAGAUUGUGUGAGGAGGCGGGAUGAGGCUCAGUGUGUGUGUGAUCGCAGCCUGAUUAACACACACGGUCCUCAGCCUCCUCUUGAACACACACACACACUCCGUGACUUUUCGGCUCUCCAUCAUGGACCUGGACCCCGCCGUCAUCAUCCCCGCCAUCCUCUUCACCGUCGUUGCCAUUUAUUUCGCUACGUCGCUCCUCAGCAGGAAGCCCGACGCCUCCUCCUCGUCUGCCGGGAGCAAGAAGUCCAAACUCGGGUACAGAGACGACCUUCCUCCGCAAGGAGCUCUGGAAGAAGAGCCCGAAGCCUCCCUGCGACCAGAGCCCCCAGCUCCGGCUGUGGAGGACAUAGGAGCCGCCGAGAAGAUCCAGGCUGUCCCAGAACCACAACAUGUCCCUGAACCAGUGAAGAUACCAGAAGCUGAGCCAGAAGCAGCAGAAGAUCCAGAGGACAGAGAAGCAGUCACAGCACCAGAACCUGUGGCACAACCAAAAAAAGUGCCAGAGACAAGAGCAGAACGACCACCGGCGCCAGAAGCAGUCCCUGAACCAACAAAAGAGCCAAAGUCUGUUCCAGAACCAGUCACAGUAUCAGAACUUGUCUCUGAAGCUGUGUCAGGCCCAGAACCUGUUCUUGAACCAGAUGAAGCACAAGAAGCAGCACCAGUGUCUGAACCCAUACCAGGCUUGGUAUCAGGCCCAGAACAAGCUGCAGAACCUACCCCAGAGUCCAAACCUGUAGCAGAGCCCUUAUCAGAACCAGCCAGGUCCCCUGAACUCAUAUCUGAACCCAAAACUGUCCCAGAACCUGUUACUGAUCCAGAGCCUGUGCUCGUGUCUGAAGUGGCAGCCCAGAAGCCCGCGACUGAACCUGAAGAACUGCUUGAGCAGAUGCCCGGACCCAAUGAAGGUCUGACAGAACCAUCGCGUGAGCGGGAACCCGAACCAGAGACCGUCCUGGAUGACGAUGUGGCUGCAGCUGCUGAUGUGCUGAACUUCACCCCGGGAAUGAAACAGAGUAAGGUGGCGGUGCUGAUGACCCAGGAGGACAUGGAGGAGGAGCAGAGGGUGCAACAGGAGCAGCUGGCAGCCAUCUUCCAGCUGCUGAAGGCGAACCAGGAGGUGACGGAGGCCGACAUAGAGGAGCAGCUGAAGCUUUACUCCCUCUGAAACACGAGAAACGCCAUCGAUCUGUCCACUCAGGAAGUCUAUCUCCAUGACCACCAUCACCAUGACCGCCAUCACCAUGACCACCAUCACCAGCAUCGUGUCCAAAUCACCAC
ensembl:lncRNA